GACGAACCGAGCGAACGUUGUUCGGAAUAACUGGGCUUAAAGGGCGCGUAGGCGGGCCGCCAAGUUCGAGGUGAAAUCCUCCGGCUCAACCGGAGAACUGCCUCGAAUACUGGAGGCCUCGAGGCGGGUAGGGGCGUGCGGAACUGUGGGUGGAGCGGUGAAAUGCGUUGAUAUCUGGAGGAACACCUGCGGCGAAGGCGGGUUGCUGGGCUGACACUGACGCUGAUGCGCGAAAGCCAGGGGAGCGAACGGG
rnacentral:rRNA from 1 species